rnacentral:rRNA from 1 species
AUUGAACGCUGGCGGCAGGCUUAACACAUGCAAGUCGAGCGAGCGGCGGACUGGUGAGUAAUGUCUGGGAAACUGCCUGAUGGAGGGGGAUAACUACUGGAAACGGUAGCUAAUACCGCAUACCAUCAGAUGUGCCCAGAGGGGAUUAGCUAGUAGGUGGGGUAAUGGCUCACCUAGGCGACGAUCCCUAGCUGGUCUGAGAGGAUGACCGGCCACACUGGAACUGAGACACGGUCCAGACUCCUACGGGAGGCAGAAGUGGGGAAUAUUGCACAAUGGGCGAAAGCCUGAUGCAGCCAUGCCGCGUGUGUGAAGAAGGCCGUCGGGUUGUAAAGCACUUUCAGCGAGGAGGCGUUACUCAAAGAAGAAGCACCGGCUAACUCCGUGCCAGCAGCCGCGGUAAUUC